GCUUGUCUCAAAGAUUAAGCCAUGCAUGUCUAAGUAUAAAUGGUAUACAGUGAAACUGCGAAUGGCUCAUUAAAACAGUUAUAGUUUAUUUGGUAUUCGAAUUUACAUGGAUAACCGUAGUAAUUCUAGAGCUAAUACAUGCGUCAAAACCCAACUUCUGGGAGGGUUGUAUUUAUUAGAUGGAAACCAAUGCGGGGCAACCCGGUAUAUGGUGAUUCAUAAUAACUUUCGGAUCGAUCUUCGGAUCGAUGCAUCAUUCAAGUUUCUGCCCUAUCAGCUUUGGAUGGUAGGGUAUUGGCCUACCAUGGCUUUAACGGGUAACGGAGAAUUAGGGUUCGAUUCCGGAGAGGGAGCCUGAGAAAUGGCUACCACAUCCAAGGAAGGCAGCAGG
rnacentral:rRNA from 1 species